rnacentral:rRNA from 1 species
GACGAACCGUGCGAACGUUGUUCGGAAUCACUGGGCAUAAAGGGCGCGUAGGCGGCUUUUCAAGUCAGGGGUGAAAUCCGGCAGCUCAACUGUCGAAGUGCCUUUGAUACUGGGAAGCUCGAGGGAGGUAGGGGUGUGUGGAACUUCCGGUGGAGCGGUGAAAUGCGUUGAUAUCGGAAGGAACGCCGGUGGCGAAAGCGACGCACUGGACCUCUUCUGACGCUGAGGCGCGAAAGCGUGGGGAGCAAACAGG